rnacentral:lncRNA from 1 species
UGUGAUCCAUCUCCUACCGAAAUUGAAUCGUUGAUGCUCGUAAUGGAGAUCCAAUGCGCUUUGGCUGCAAGAUUUGGUGUCUUGGACCAAGAUUCUCAAUAUUUGAAAUCUUGAUUUUCCCUUUCUUUUGUGUACGCAUCUAAGGCCUUACUAACAAACUCCUGGAUGGUCCCAUUUAGUUUGGAACGCAUUUGUCGGGCCUUUGAUCUCGU